AUGAGCUAACCUGAGGCAACUGCGACAAGGAGAAGUCUCCCUGAAAUGAUAUUAUGAAUAAACCUCGAGAGGAACCAGACUCAAAAGGGGAAGCCAUCAUCAUUUUGGAGGCAAUGUAGAGUGAGAUUAUAAAUAAUGUCCUUUGUACAACUCUUUAUAGUCAAGUGGAAUUGUGCGACCAAGAGCUCCUGAACAACUUAUUGGUCGGCAUAAUCUCUGGGUUAUAGACACCAAUUCUUUACUACUGAAGUCUUCAAAUGUUCACUGAUGAAGAACUGAAGACCUCAUGAGAGGAGAGAAGAGGCUUUUCUAUGGAUGUUUAAAGUGUUGGCAAAGUUUACCUGGAGUACUGUUACUGUCUCACCUGCAAUAUCUGCAAAGGAAGCACCCAAGUAGUUUACAAUACAGUAAUUACCUGGAUAAAUGGUGACUUUUCUUCCGCAGUUCAGUCUGACUCGGUCGGCGUUUUAAUUUAUACCGUCUAUUUUUUUUAUCUGCCUCAGUAUUUUCACAUUUUUUUACUUGCCUAUCGCAAUUUUUUUCGCAGACGCUUUUUGUUUUCUGCCUUCAAACAGGAAGCGGAGGAAACCCACUUCGGAUCUCUUCAGCAUCCAGCUCACAUUCACUCAGAGUUGUUUUUGAAGAUGCAGUGGAAAUAUGAAGGCACACCAGAAGAUAACCUUGAGGGUCAUUCUCUCAGAGGCGGAUAUAAGACGUCACCUUGAGAGUGAGACCUGCUACGGUGGAGGACUUGAUAAACAAGAUUAAAGAAUAGCUGGGAGUUAAUUGCAACUGCAGUCUCCAAUACAAAGAUCCUGAAUUCAAUCAUAAACUGUGCAAUCUGACAAAUAUUGCAAAUCUUUCAGAAAAACAGUCAAAGUCAUCUCUGUAGUCGAGCUGGUAUCCGUUUAAAGGCUGAUGAAAUUUUGAGUGACACAUACAGUACAGCAGAUACAGAGAUCCUCACACAUCACAAGAGCGACAGAUGCAGUGGCCAGAAGUAUUUCAUAUCCCAACUUUUUCUGUUGAUGUAGAGUACAGACUUAGGCAAGCAGAUAUGAUUUAUCUUAUGGAUGGAACACUUCUAAAACUAUCAAAAAAUGUAAAACAUGAGAUCCUUGAAAGAUUGGCAUGUAUAGCUUCACAGCAUACCCAAAUAAUGCUCAGUUUAACUGUUGCUGCAGCAUUGAUCAGCAAGCACCCCUGUCUCCAGAAAUGAGGCUCAACCAGUUGCUGUAAUGGUUGGAAAAAUAGUCUAAAAUCUAAAAUGGGUAAUUACAGAACAAAGCAUAGAAGAUCUGGAUGUCUUGAUGUUGCAGGAAAUGCAGGUAUAUGGGGAAGCCAUCCAGCAGAAGGAGAACCAGCUAACAAAAAGAUCAAGAAGGCAAAGAAAAGUGAACUCAACUGCUUACUCAACUUUCCAGUCAGAUUUGAUCAGACAGGCCUCGAGGGUGCCGCAAAGACUUGAUUGAUGAAAUGCAGAAGAGAAAACCAGAUGGACAUCUUGUAAAACAGAAGGUGGACCUGACAUUUGCAGAAGAAAAGAGGUGGUAGAGUCUAAACCUGCCAUUAGCUCUUUUCACAGAAGAUCAGGUAUGUUCAAGAGAGGUAAUGGAAAUGUUUUUGUUAUAUGGGGCUUUAGACCUAGGCCUCACCUUUGUUGUGGUAUUCAGGCUUUGGGCCUACCAAGCCUCAUAUUUAUUGUAGUCCCCUUUUCAAUCCCAAAACAAUCCUUGCAAAAGCACCUUGCCCACUGCCCUCAAUCCUGCCUCUGUAUCGAUAUUAGUAUAUUAGCUUUCAGUAUCGAUGGUGAAUAAGAAAGCAGGUUCUGGGAAUGUUGUGUUCCUGAAUUUAUUUAUGAAAUCAUUUGUAUCUUUUAAACAACUAGAAUAAAGUUGGGAGACAGGAUUGAGGAAGUGCUCAAUGUAUCUUUGCUGCAUUAUAGUUCUUGUGGUUUCAUGUUUUUUUAGUUUAGUUGAUUAACAGGUGGGGUAAUCUGUGUUAGGUAGUCUGUAUUUAGAUUUAUCUGUGAAUUGUACAUGUUCUUUUAUUCUUGUAUAUUGAAAAUGGUCUAAAAUCUUGAGUUGUCUAUUGUAAGCAUGGACGUCCCUCCCCAAUCUCCCCAAGUCCAUACCCUGCAGCGUUGGAAUGAAGUUCAGACCCUUACUGAGCAGCUCCAUCUGCGGACCUGUAAGGAGAAAUGUUUGUUUUAGAUAGAUUAAUGAUGCUUUGUGUUUAUUUUAUUGCACUUCACCAACUGAUCCAACCAAUAGGUGACAAUCUGUAAAGCUGUUUCUGUGGGCCAGUGGAUGGGAUCCCUGGGACUUAAAUCUGUAUAUAUGUAGGUGUUCAACUUCUUCAGUUUCUCUUGGUGGCGUUUGGGCAGAAUAUCAGAAUAAUUUAAUAAAGAGGUGUGGCUAGAGGCAUUGGUGAAAAACUACUGCAGUUGUCCUCCACAAUUUAACACAUUUUUUGUGGCUACAUAAGUUAGGUUAGUAUAAAGAACUUCAAAUAAGUUUAGAGUCGAUUCCACUAAUUGGUAUUUACAGACCCACAGGGCCAUAUUCUGAAUUCCUCACUGAAUUUGCAGGUUUCAUUUUUUUUCUCUCCUUUCUCUGUUUCUCUUCUUUUGUAAAGCUGCUUUGAGACAAUGUCCAUUGUAAAAGGUGCGAUACAAAUAAAUUGAAUUGAAUUGAAAUCGAAAUUAUCUGUACUUUUCCUCUCAAGGGGUGUCAAAAAGGAUCAGGGAAGGGGAAGUGAGGGAUCAGAUUGGACUUUUUUUCCUUUCUGCAGACCCAUUCAUCACUGCCCCCAUCACAUGCUUCACCUCUCCCUGGGUUGGUUCCCCUGUGAUAAAAAAAAAUAUUAGGCUCCAUUAAAACAUUGUAACUGCUGUGUUUAUUUGUACCUUUGUACAUGGUUUUGUUUGUCAUAUGUUUCAAUACCUUUAUUUUGAAGCCUUGGUUAGCAGCGAGUACGGACAUUACGGAUGCUUCGUUACAAGUUUGUUGCAGCAAUAAAGGGCUUAAAGUAUUACAAAGAAGAAUAAAAGACUAUUUCCCUUCUUCAUUGCAUGCAGCCAACUACGAAUUUCUUUCUCAUGGCUGUUCCCUGGACCUGUAAAUAUAAUUGAGAAUUAAAUUUGAAGUUGUUUUUGAUCAUGUUUAUUUCAGAAGUUCCACAUCUGGCCAAUCCGGAGCAUUUUUCCAUUUCCAUUUACACCGAUCAGCCAUAACAUUAUGCCCACUGAUAGGUGAGGUGAAUAACACUGAUCAUCUCCUCAUCAUGGCACCUGUUAGUGGGUGGGAUAUAUUAGGCAGCAAGUGAACAUUUUGUCCUCAAAGUUGAUGUGUUAGAAGCAGGAAAAAUGGAUAAGCGUAAGGAUUUGAGCGAGUUUGACAAGGGCCAAAGUGUGAUGGCUAGAUGACUGGAUCAGAGCAUCUCCAAAACUGCAGCUCUUGUUGGGUGUUCCCAUGAUCUGACUGUUGGUCAGUAUCUAUCAAAAGUGGUCCAAAGAAGGAACAGUGAUGAACCGGCAACAGGAUCAUGGGCGGCCAAGGCUCAUUGAUGCACGUGAUGCGCUCAGACGUCCAUGCUAGUGGGUCUUUAUGAAUUUUUGCUAAUAAAUAGAAUUUGCGCAUUCUUGGUGGGUUUGAACCAAUAAGGUAAUUGACCCGUUUCUUUUUAAUGAAACCUUUGUUUUAAGUCAUCCAAGAUAGAUCUUACCAAUGACUGUGUUUCUUGUUGUAGUGAAUAUAGAAGUGUUUGGUUGGUAUUGUUAAAUUGCCUGUUUGCUUCGAGUAAAUAUUGCUGUUUAUCCAAAAUGACAAUCACAGGGCCUUUACCUGCCGGUUUGAGGACUAUAUCUUUAUUCUUUUGUAGUUCCUUGAGAGCUCUGCGUUCUGCUGGGGUCAAAUUAUCUGAUUGGAGAAGUCUUUACACGUUCAUAGACAUUAUCACCAUGCAUAUGCUUCACCAGCAGGGGUUCAAGUGUAUUCAAUAUUUUAAUCUCCUUUCUGCUUUUUGUCUCUGCAACAUUGUCGAUCCGAACCUACUUUCCAUGCCCUAAAUCUACAACUUCUCGAGUCUGUGUGUUCAAAAAUGGUUGAACAGUGUUAUUUCUUUUUGCCUCUUCUGAUUUGUUAUGAGUGUUGAAUCUAUCUAUUAAUUUGUUUUUGGUUUUACCUAUGUAUAACCUGGCACUCCCUGAUAGUAUAGUAUAUCUGUAUAUCUAUAGUUAUAGUAUAGUAUAUCUAGUAUAGUAUAGUAUAGUAUCUAGUAUAGUAUAGUAUCUAGGAUAGUAUAUCUGAUAGUAUACUAAACUGGUUCUGAAACAGGUUAAAACCUGGCCAGCAGGAGCCAACUCUGCUCUUCAGGACUGUUUUGAGUGCACUGACUGCGACAUGUUUAGGGAGGCUGCAACAAACGGCGAUUUAUUGACUUGGAGGAGUACACGGCAUCAGUGACCGGCUACAUCGGGAAGUGCAUCCGUGAUGAAAUGCUUCGAGAGGCUUGUCAUGAGGCACAUCAAAACACAGCUACCACCCUCACUGGACCCCUUGCAGUUUGUGUAUCGUCCUAACCGCUCCACGGACGAUGCCAUCACCACAACCCUCCAUCUUGCCCUCACACACCUGGAUUGUAAGGACUCCUUCAUUCGAAUGCUGUUCAUAGAUUCCAGUUCAGCAUUCAACACAAUCAUCCCUCAGUAGCUGAUUGAGAAGCUGAGCCUGCUGGGCCUGAACACCUCUCUCUGCAACUGACCUCAGUCAGUCCGGAUCGGGAACAGCAUCUCCAGCACCACCACACUGAGCACUAGAGCUCCUCAGGGCUGUGUGCUCAGUCCACUGCUGUUCACUUUGCUGACUCACGACUGUGCAGCAAUGCACAGAUCCAUUGUUUUUUGUGUUUGAACUAUAUGUUGUAUGUUUAUGUAGCGCCAGGUCCUGGAGAAACGUUAUUUCAUUUCACUAUGUACUGCGUCAGCUAUAUGUGGUUGAAAUGACAAUAAAGCUUCUUGAAUCUUGAAUUUUGAAUAUACCAUGUUGUAAAUGUCUGGUCUGUUCAAUCAGUAUACCAGCCCAGAAUAGUUGUUUUUUCAGUAUUUGUAACAUAUGUGUCCGUUCUUUUUUAUUUUCAUUCUUGUUUACUUUCUUGUGCUCUAAAAUGUCUGAGAUUUUUUUUUUUUUUUUUUUAAU